rnacentral:rRNA from 1 species
CCUACGGGUGGCAGCAGUGAGGAAUAUUGGUCAAUGGGCUUACGCCUGAACCAGCCAAGUCGCGUGAGGGAAGACUGCCCUAUGGGUUGUAAACCUCUUUUGUCAGGGAGCAACGCCGGCUACGUGUAGCCGGACUGAGAGUACCUGACUAAGAAGCCCCGGCUAACUACGUGCCAGCAGCCGCGGUAAUACGUAGGGGGCAAGCGUUAUCCGGAUUCACUGGGCGUAAAGGGAGCGCAGGCGACAUGGCAAGUCUGAUGUGAAAACCCGGGGCCCAACCCCGGGAGUGCAUUGGAAACUGCCAGGCUGGAGUGUCGGAGGGGUAAGCGGAAUUCCUAGUGUAGCGGUGAAAUGCGUAGAUAUUAGGAGGAACACCAGUGGCGAAGGCGGCUUACUGGACGACUACUGACGCUGAGGCUCGAAAGCGUGGGGAGCAAACAGGAUUAGAUACCCGGGUAGUC